UCCCAUGUUGUGUCCAGUUGGCAAAGUACC
rnacentral:piRNA from 1 species